CGUAGCCCCCGCGGGCUGUGUUGGGGGGCGGGGGAAAGACCUGGGGUCGCGCCCCAGGGACAUCUCUUAUGCCCCGGCUGGGGACGCUGGGCGGGUGACACUGAGCCUUGCCUUUCUCAUCUGUACAAGGGGCGCAGCCAGCCAGACCUCACUGGGGGUGUCUGAGGGUUGACUGAGCUAAUGUGUGUGAAGGGUUGGGUUGACGGAAAGUCCGGCCGAGUGUCACAUGCCCACCUGCCCCACCUGCUGGGUCUUUCUGGGUGUUUUUCUCUCUGUGACUGUGUCUGUGUCUCUUUCUGUCCCUCUGUCUUGCCAUUCUGUGCACCCCCGUGGCACCCUCUGGGUGUGGGGGAGGGCAGUGGGAACUUCCUGCCCCCUGUGCCUCUCUGGAGUUGUUGGGUGAUGGCAGAGGGUAAAGCCAGGUGCUCUCAGACCUCCCUCCCGCCUGCUCUGUUUCCUGCCCACAUGUGGGUGUCCUCGCUGAGCUUUCCUUCCGCGUCUGGGCCCUGAGCUCAGCCCGGAGAGGUGCUGAGAGGACGGGUGACCCCGGCCAGCAGGUGCCAGGCCUGCCGUGUUGCCGGCUUGGCACAGAGCCCAGGGGGACACUGGGAUCACCUCAACCCCCAGGACCAGCUACUUCAUUUGCAGACCCCAGUGCGAAAUGAAAAUGUGGGGCCCGUUGCUCAAAAAGUAUGAAGAAUUUCAAGAUGGCAACCGCAGAGUGCUGAAGCAAACUGAACAGCAGCUCCAAUUCCGUUGAACUGGGUGCUGGCCCUGUGUGACUGCACAGCCUGUAGGUGCCAGUGGCAGGAUGCGCUUACUCUGAGUUUAUACAUGACCUCAGAAGGUUACUGAAGAAUUUGUGUGUGCCCUAGGAAGGUUAAUUCAGGGGUGGACACAGGCUACAUCAAAGCAGGGAGAUGGUUGAUAGAUUGAGAGGCUUGCAGCAUUGGCGUGAGAAAGGAGAGAGAUUAUGAGGUAGUCGAAGAGGCGAAUUUGGAGAACUGAGAGUGACCUCUGGGGAUCUGGGUCACUGGGAACACUCUCAGCAAUGUUUCUUGGACAUCUGUUACAUGCUGAGCACUGGGCCAGCUGCUGGGGACGACAUGGUGAGAGCAACCCAGAACAAUCUUUGUUCUCGUGGAGCUUCCAGUCUGGCUGGGGAGAUGGAUGUUAAAGGAACAGUGGGGCACUAGGUGAACAUCUGGUCCGGUCCUGAGCAGAGCAGAAGAUGGCUUCCCAGGGGAAGUGACCUGUCAGCUGAGGAAGGUGGACCAGGCAGAGGGAAGAGAACGUGCCAAGCUCCAGACGGUGGAAUUGAAAGCCUCAUUUCUGAGACUACCUUAGCUUCUGAGGACGAGGUCUGUGGAAAGACAGAGCUACCCCGAGACCAGCACAGAGAAGUCGGGCCCAGAGCAUACCCGGUUUAUCAGCCGGUGGAGUCAGCAAGUCCCGAAUUUGAGGGUCCUUGAUUCCUACUGCCCACCGAAGAUCAAGGGUCCUGAGAAGGGGGCAGCUGGAGGUGCUGAGGGCAGAGACUGCAGACCAGGAACAGCCUGCGAGGAGGAGGUCCUUCAGUCCUGAAACAGGUGGAAACAGAGACAUGGAAUCACUUAACUGUCCACCGGCACUUUCAAAGCCUAAACUACCAAGUGAUCCUGAGAAAGCUAGUCCAGACCAGAACUGACAGACAGAGCGUGCCUCCCCACCGCAGUAUGCAAGUCCACAGACCACAAACAGUACUGCGCCCGGCAGGCUUCAGGGUCUCUGUUCAACUUGAGAAGAAAUGUCAAGGACAACCAGGUCUCAGAAAACUUCCAACACUGGACCCUGCUUGCUGGAGAAAGAAAUUCUGAUCUAGGUGUGGGAGGUGAGAAUUACAAACUGGAGGAUCAUGAGCACCUUCACUGGGGAAAGAAUGUCUUCCUCUUGUUAGAAGGAAAGGUGGCUGGAGGGAGGAGUUUAGCCACGGUCGUCCACGUCACCAGCACCAGGAGGGGAGCUGACAAAUCACAGGCUCUCAACAAAUGCAUGAGCCUAGCUGACUUGGGGGCAAACUUUUCAGCCCUUAACACUCUCAAGUUUUAGCAUAAACUGUGCAAUACAUCUCCCAAAUCAGUAACCCACUCCCAAUAGAGAGACGGGAAAGUGUAGAGCAGGGAGAAGAGGGAAAGGGUCACAUUUCGCUAAUGACAUCUCCAGACACAACUGGCCACAUCCUAAUAGGAUCCACUGUCUGGGAGAUGGACCAGAUUGAUUCGCUCCUUACAGGUCCCAAAAAGCCUUCAAAUGCCAAGGUGCAUGCUGUUCUCUUAUGGCAAACUUGCCACCUACUCCCGUACCCCUGUUCCUGACCCCCUGAAUCCCUGCUCACCAUUUAUACCACGUCUUGCACACUCGCAUACAUUCACAAAGUUCUCUGCGGCUGAGGUAGCGGAAGACAGACAUCCAGACCUCCCGCUGCAUCCAGCUUUCGUCUCCAUCCUGAGCCCAACUGCCCCGGCCAUUCAGCCUGGCUGCACCCCCCUCCUCUGCACUGUCAUCUUCCUCCUCCUCCUCCUCCUCUUCCUCCUCCUCUCCCCCCAGACCCUCCUCAUCCCCACACUGGGGGGUUCGGGCUGGGCAGUGCUGCACUAGCACACGGGGGGAAUGACGAAGGUUGGCAGAGGAGGCCGUGAUGGCCUGCAGCUUGGGCACAAUGGAUGUCCCGUGGAGCUCUUUGGUGGGCCUCUGUAGCGUGACAGUGAGGUACGAUCCCCGGAUCUUGGCUUUCUCAACUUCAGACAGCUCCUUUUUGCCGCUGGGAUUGUUCUCCUUUUCCCGUACCAUGGUGCGCUCGGUGGCCUGCAGCCGCAGCAACUGCCGCCGUUUGAAGCGCUCAUCGCGGCUGGCACUGUGGUGGUCGCUGGGGCCAGCCCCAGGGGAUGACCGAGUCACCAUACCCCGGGGGGAAACCGGGUCAUGGAUGAGCUGCAGCAUGGAAGUGGGUGAGUGAGGCGGGGGUGUGAGGGGCUCGUCGCAGCUCCGCAGGGGCCGCAGGACUUUGGCUUGCACAGCUUCUUCAUCACUCUCUUCCAUUUUCCGCUUCUGCAAAACAGGCCCCAGAAAGCAACAUCAGGGCCUCCUUUCUUCAAAACCCUCGAAAGUGACAGGGUGAGCCUUACUGCUCCUCUCAGGGGACCAGAGAGAAGACUGAUCACUGGUCCUCUGGGCAGGAUGGGGCACCUGGAUGCCAGAGGGUGGUUACUGCCUCAGAUCCCGCAAUUUAGACUCUGCAAGGAUCAGCAACUGAGCUCAUGCCUGUGUCAGAGAAAGAUGACCACAGAACAAAACCCUCAAAAUGGGUCACUUGGGAAACCUACGUGCCAAGAAAUGUUUGUGUCCAAGUCCAGGAGAGGGAUCCAAAUUUGGGGCUGCUUGAUCCCAUAUCCCACCUCAUCCUCAGGUAAAAAUAUUCUUUAAAGAGGCCACAACUCUACCCCUAUGUAAUCUGACAACUUUUAAUCCUAUCUCUAAAUUGGCUCUUUUACCAAAGAGAUGCUUUUCUUUUCAUAGAGAAGGUAGAAAAACUGUCCAUAUCGAACUAGGAUGUUGAGCUUGGGGGUACACCCCAUCUGACUUUUAGCCCCCCUCCCCUGUGUAGUGUCUACCCUUUCCUCUGCCAGGCUACUUCUUCCAAGCAGCACCCCACCCUGCCCCUGGAGACCCAGGGCACGUAGGAGAUAAAGCAGAGAACACGAGCGAGCCUCUGUGAGAAACUGCACAGUGAGGCCCCAUAAGGGACUACAAGUUCGUCCUGGGGCACUCGUGCUCUCUGGAAACUUGUCUUCCUGAAGCCUUCCCUGGCUAUGUUAUGACAAGUCUAGUCAAUGUGUUCCACAAGGAGUCACAUCAGUAGUUCAGAUUUUCCUUAAGGAGACAUUUUAUGUCCCUAAGCAACAAUCCUGAUUUCCACUCCCUUUUCUCCCUACAUUCUUGAGAUUCAUUAUGUUGGGAGGAAAAUGAGCACCUCUCAGUCACUGGCUGUUAUAGCUAACACUAAAAUAUGGCUUCUGCCAACCCAUCUGCUGUAGCAGGGAAGCAAACACCCAUCCCCACUCCUAACAAAAACAGCAAAUACAAAUGUAAAAGCUACUGGUAUAAGAACUUGGAAUAACAGCCCUAGUCAACUCUAGAAACCUUUGCCCUAAAAGAUAUUUAGACUGAAAAUUCAACUAAUGCAGUUCCCAAGAGGGAAGAAAUAGGCAAGACGGGGAAAAUCUCUUAGGUCUCCUUCCUCGCUCCUGUGCAGGACAGCUGGAGGAACCCACCGGAGCUCGGAUGACUGACGCUAGGCCGGCCUACCUCCACAGGCCCGAGUAACCAGAGUCCUUUGGGCUCUUUAAUAUUACUGGUGACUGACCACUGGGCCAGCAAAUGCAGCUGCUCGGACCCAAGGUCAUGGCAUUGGUUCCCUCUGGGGGAGGAGCUGCCUCUGAAAGACACAUUUGGGUACUGGGCAGGGCUUUCUGCUGAGGCCACAAAGGUGAAGAUGACAAAAAUGUGAACUUGCUGAACUGGAAACUCCAGUACACCAGUGCUCCUGACUGGCUGCCUCAGGCUACUACCUCCCCUCAAAUUUCAUUCCUCAGGAGAAUCCUGCUCACCUAACUUCCUUCCUCAGUCAGCUCCCCAAAGUCCUUCUCUUUCUAGGGCCCCAGAGUGUGCAAGGACUGCAGGAAUUUGCACAUCCCAAGUAGAACAAUAUCCAGUAAUACAAAAACAAAUAUUAAAAACAAGUCAAAUGAAAGAAAAAAUGAAAAUAAUUAACCAAAGGAAAAAAAGUUACUGGACACAUGGAAAAGGUCCACAUCUAGAUAAAUGUGAGCUUUCUCUAUUAAAAUCUUCAGUGUCUAUAAAAAUGGCUGCUGCUUUAGAAUGUUACUGACCCACACUGACCCCGGUCUGCAGAAACACAUAUUUGGAAUAAUAUUUGCAAAAAAAGUAAAUAGCUUUUUCAAAAAUGGAAAGAAAAAAAAGAAAAGGUAUUGAACAAAACAAAAAAUAAACGCUCCAGGUCAGAAAGAUGCUGCAAAGGCAAACAGACAGCAAUCUCCUGGACCUGGAACAACAACUUUCUCCCAGCGCUGGUCUGGGUAAACUUCCUUUACCUGGGCUUUCUCCGAGCUGUCCUCCUGGUAGCACUUUGGACACUCCCAGCAAUUUGGCAAUUCCUCAUUAAGCAAGCCUUCUCCAUCCAUCUGUAGGCAGACAGGGAUGUUAAAAAUAUUUCUCGUUAAAAGAAGAAAAAAAAAAAGCCUGCCUCUUUAGCCUCCUUUAUUAA